GACAGAGGGUGCAAACGUUGUUCGGAAUUACUGGGCAUAAAGCGCACGUAGGUGGUCCGCUAAGUCGCGUGUGAAAUCCCCCGGCUCAACCGGGGAACUGCGCGUGAUACUGGCGGGCUUGAGAUCGGGAGGGGUGAGUGGAACUCCAGGUGGAGCGGUGAAAUGCGUAGAUAUCUGGAGGAACACCGGUGGCGAAAGCGGCUCACUGGCCCGAUACUGACACUCAGGUGCGAAAGCUAGGGUAGCAAACGGG
rnacentral:rRNA from 1 species